GGACGAACGCUGGCGGCGUGCCUAAUACAUGCAAGUCGAACGCUUCUUUCCUCCCGAGUGCUUGCACUCAAUUGGAAAGAGGAGUGGCGGACGGGUGAGUAACACGUGGGUAACCUACCCAUCAGAGGGGGAUAACACUUGGAAACAGGUGCUAAUACCGCAUAACAGUUUAUGUCGCAUGGCAUAAGAGUGAAAGGCGCUUUCGGGUGUCGCUGAUGGAUGGACCCGCGGUGCAUUAGCUAGUUGGUGAGGUAACGGCUCACCAAGGCCACGAUGCAUAGCCGACCUGAGAGGGUGAUCGGCCACACUGGGACUGAGACACGGCCCAGACUCCUACGGGAGGCAGCAGUAGGGAAUCUUCGGCAAUGGACGAAAGUCUGACCGAGCAACGCCGCGUGAGUGAAGAAGGUUUUCGGAUCGUAAAACUCUGUUGUUAGAGAAGAACAAGGACGUUAGUAACUGAACGUCCCCUGACGGUAUCUAACCAGAAAGCCACGGCUAACUACGUGCCAGCCGCCGCGGUAA
rnacentral:rRNA from 1 species